GGCGAACGCUGGCGGCGUGCCUAAUACAUGCAAGUUGAGCGCUGAAGGUUGGUCCUUGUACCAACUGGAUGAGCAGCGAACGGGUGAGUAACGCGUGGGGAAUCUGCCUUUGAGCGGGGGACAACAUUUGGAAACGAAUGCUAAUACCGCAUAAAAACUUUAAACACAAGUUUUAAGUUUGAAAGAUGCAAUUGCAUCACUCAAAGAUGAUCCCGCGUUGUAUUAGCUAGUUGGUGAGGUAAAGGCUCACCAAGGCGAUGAUACAUAGCCGACCUGAGAGGGUGCACGGCCACAUUGGGACUGAGACACGGCCCAAACUCCUACGGGAGGCAGCAGUAGGGAAUCUUCGGCAAUGGACGAAAGUCUGACCGAGCAACGCCGCGUGAGUGAAGAAGGUUUUCGGAUCGUAAAACUCUGUUGGUAGAGAAGAACGUUGGUGAGAGUGGAAAGCUCAUCAAGUGACGGUAACUACCCAGAAAGGGACGGCUAACUACGUG
rnacentral:rRNA from 1 species